GGGGAACCUCUGUGUGCCUCAGUGUCCUGCUCUGUAUAGCCCCCACCCUUGCAGCACGGACCUCGCAGGCUGCUGGGAGGCUCAGGCAGGCUGUGUAGUCUCGGUGCUGAGCCUCGGAGCGCUGGACAGCCAGACUCUCCCUCCCAGCCCCCAUCCAGACAGCCGGGGCCUCCCUGCCUGCUCUCCCGCAGGAGGUGAAGGCAGGCAUAGGCUAACCCCACCCAAAGGGGGUCCCUGCCCAAGUGGCAGAGUGGCACAAGUCCUGGAGUGGCAAAAUUUUGAAGAACAAGGCAUAUUGAGCAGGCUUGGCAGGAGGCCAGGCAGGUGCGAAAUCAAGGCUCAGGAAGUCUCUCGGUAAAGAUGGGGUUGGACCUGAACCAGGAUUCCUGAGACCUCGGACCCCAGGGCCCUUUCCUCGGGAAGCUCUGACAGAGCUCCCUCCGCAGGGCUGGUGCUCCAGGAGCAGCUUCCAACGCUCUGGGCAACCGAAUGCCUUCCACUGCCCCAGAGUGUGGUGCUUCAGGGUGCCCCUGGGCUUAAGGUUUGAUGUGGCUGCACGCGGGCAGGACCUCUUAGCCAUCAAACAGCCACCCAGCUAAAAGGCAGAGAGCAGCGCCACAGGUGACCCAGAGGAGACGCCACUCCCCAGAGGCCGAGGAAGACUCCAAGACUUUUUUCACAGGAAUCUAUUUUUCCCUAGUCUUCCCACCAUGACUGAGCGCUUUAUAAAGCACCAUUAGAUAUGACCCCAUCUCGUCUCCAGGAACCCACCAUGAAACAAGUGUCAUCACCACAUCUUACAGGUUCACAGCAGCGCCAUUCACCGCCACCAAGAGAUGGAAACAUCCAGAGGCCCUUCCCCGGAUGAAGGAUAAACAGAAUGUGGCUCAUCCUCCUCCCUGCUGUGGAAUGCGAUUCAGCCAUGAGAAGGAGCAAGGCACUGACACAGGCCACAAUGUCGAUGAACCCUGGAAACACCAUGCUCAGUGAAAGAAGCCGGACAUGAAAGGCCAGUCUGGUGUGAUUCCAUUUACACGGAAUAACCAGAACUAGUAAAUCCCUGGAAAUAGAAAGCAGGCCAGGUGAUGUGUGGCUCGCGGCUGUAAUCCCAGCACUUUGGGAGGCCAAGGCAAGCAGA